AGACAAACUGAGGUCCAGAAAGAGGAAGUACUUGAUCAAGAUCACAACCAGCCAGUGGCAAAGUAUUGGUCCAGGUUUCUGAAGGGUUCCUUGACUUUUAAACUAUGGCUGACAUUUUCUAUGGGAACAAAGAGUCCCACAAAGUCCCAAGAAAAUUUGAGAAGAGGAAACAUCUGAUAAAAGAGAGAAUGAAAGAUAGGAGCCACGUCUUCAUGGGCAUAAGGAGGUUGUCAUCUACCAUCUACUUGAAGGCUACCAUUGAUGGGGAACUCACUACUUCUUGAAAUAAUCCCUGCUCUUAAGAAGUCUACAGUCUAUUGGAAAAUGGAAAAUUGAGGCAUCAGAAGUUACAUGGCAAGGAGGGAGGAAGAGAAGGCAGAAUGGAGAGAACAUGGAUCACAAAGUAUCAGAAAAAGAUUAUUAAAAACUGUAUCUACAUAUAAUUGGGAAAAUAUAAUAAUAAAAUAAGGGGAGAAAGUACAUGGUUACCGUCCUUCAGAUUUUGCAGCAUUUGUCUUCCUAUCCAUGAUUUCCUUUGGUCCUCAAUUCUGUGGGGGCAGGUA